rnacentral:rRNA from 1 species
AGGAGAGUUUGAUCCUGGCUCAGGACGAACGCUGGCGGCGUGCCUAACACAUGCAAGUCGAACGGAACUACUAGGAAGGAUCUCUUCGGAGAAACGGAAUUUUAGUUUAGUGGCGGACGGGUGAGUAACGCGUGAGUAACCUGCCUUUGAGAGGGGAAUAACGUUCUGAAAAGAACGCUAAUACCGCAUAACAUAUAUUGAUCGCAUGGUCGGUAUAUCAAAGAUUUAUCGCUCAAAGAUGGACUCGCGUCCGAUUAGCUUGUUGGCGGGGUAACGGCCCACCAAGGCGACGAUCGGUAGCCGGACUGAGAGGUUGAACGGCCACAUUGGGACUGAGACACGGCCCAGACUCCUACGGGAGGCAGCAGUGGGGGAUAUUGCGCAAUGGGGGCAACCCUGACGCAGCAACGCCGCGUGAAGGAUGAAGGUUUUCGGAUUGUAAACUUCUUUUGUCAGGGACGAAAUCUGACGGUACCUGACGAAUAAGCUCCGGCUAACUACGUGCCAGCAGCCGCGGUAAUACGUAGGGAGCAAGCGUUGUCCGGAUUUACUGGGUGUAAAGGGUGCGUAGGCGGCUAAGCAAGUCAGGUGUGAAAUCUAUGGGCUCAACCCAUAAACUGCAUUUGAAACUGCAUAGCUUGAGUGAAGUAGAGGCAGGCGGAAUUCCCCGUGUAGCGGUGAAAUGCGUAGAGAUGGGGAGGAACACCAGUGGCGAAGGCGGCCUGCUGGGCUUUAACUGACGCUGAGGCACGAAAGCGUGGGUAGCAAACAGGAUUAGAUACCCUGGUAGUCCCCU